AAGUCGUAACAAGGUUUCCGUAGGUGAACCUGCGGAAGGAUCAUUACUGAACUGUCGACACGAGUUGUUGCUGGUCCUCGAAAGGGGGCAUGUGCACGCUCUGUUUACACAUCCACUCACACCUGUGCACCCUCUGUAGUUCUGUGGCAUUGGGGACUCUGUCCUCUUGCCGUGGUCCUACGUCUUUACACACACACCGUAAUACAGUCUCAUGGAAUGUAUGUCGCGUUUAACGCAAUACAAUACAACUUUCAGCAACGGAUCUCUUGGCUCUC
rnacentral:misc_RNA from 1 species